rnacentral:misc_RNA from 1 species
GUAUUGUAUUGCGUCAGACGCGGCGUACAUUCCAUGAUACUUUGUUACGGUGUGUGUGUAAAGACGUAGGACCACGGCAAGAGGACAGAGUCCCCAGGCCAUAGAACUACAAGGGUGCACAGGUGUGAGUGGAUGUGUAAACAGAGCGUGCACGUGACCCCUUUCAAGGACCAGCAACAACUCGUGUCGACAGUUCAGUAAUGAUCCUUCCGCAGGUUCACCUACGGAAA